UCUGAGAGGGACUAAAAAUACCUGGAGAGUGGCUGUAACUUUGGACUUCUCCUAGUGUGGUGACUGCUGUAAUCGAGCAUGUACCCCGUGGGGAUCCUAGAAACCUUGCUCAUGGGUGGUCAUACAAGGCUCCUGCAGAGAAGAGACGCUCAUUCAUUUCUAACCUCAUCACCACCAACAUAGUAUAAUGCUUAUGAAAAGCUUUACGAAUACUCAGUACAUGAAAUCGACACCAGCACGUUCUCCCGUUCCUGCAUCAGGCUGCCGCAGCCUUGUGGCCUUUACGUGAAGAACGCCAGUUACCACGGAUUGCCUCACUCGACCUCCAGCGUACCUCUAGGCACCCUGAAAGCCACCUCUCCUAGGAGUCUGGGGGUAAGCACGGUUGUGGAAGUAGGAGUUCUGUCUACAGCAUCACUCCAGCGUCCAGUCUCCAGCUUCCUGGGUGGCAAGAAGCAGAGUGGCAGGAGCCACAGAGCGGAAGCUUUUUGAUCUGACUUCCCAGUCCUGAGCUGAUGCGCUGCGUCUGUCCCGCAGUUUCCAGAGCGGCCACAGAGGUGGCACAAGCUCUGGCUCCCAGUACAGGGACAGGGACGGCGGUGCCUUCUGAGUUCCCCCGAGGGGUCACCUCUGGAUUGUCGCCCUAGAGGAGCUGUUAGGCUCUUCUAACAGUUCUGUAAGCAUCUUAUACCCUUUCAGUAAAUCUCGUCUUGUUUCAAAUACUCAGAAGAGUUUUGUUUGUGGCACUGACUGCACACACAGUGUUCUAGGAGGUCCAAGUAGGUCAAGGAAAGAAGGCAGGCUC